rnacentral:misc_RNA from 1 species
UCCUUGUUUCCAAGGCAGUCCCGUUAAAGUGCUCUCUUGCGAGGAGCAACUAACGGCAAGGGUUGCGCUCGUUAAAGGACUUAACCCAACAUCUCACGACACGAGCUGACGACAGCCAUGCAGCACCUGUGUACUCGUCUAGGUUUCCCUAGAACCCCGGUUUUGGCCGAGUUGCAAGUACAUGUCAAGCCCAGGUAAGGUUCCUCGCGUAGUUUCGAAUUAAACCACAUGUUCCACCGCUUGUGCGGACCCCCGUCAAUUCCUUUGAGUUUUAAUCUUGCGACCGUACUUCCCAGGCGGAUCACUUAACGCGUUAGCUUCGACACGGAUCAUGCAAGCACGACCCACAUCCAGUGAUCAUCGUUUACAGCGUGGACUAC